UUCCAGACUCCUACGGGAGGCAGCAGUGGGGGAUAUUGCACAAUGGGGGGAACCCUGAUGCAGCGACGCCGCGUGGGUGAAGGAGUAUUUCGGUAUGUAAAGCCCUAUCGGCAGGGAAGAAGCAAGACGGUACCUGACUAAGAAGCCCCGGCUAACUACGUGCCAGCAGCCGCGGUAAUACGGAGGAUGCGAGCGUUAUCCGGAUUUAUUGGGUUUAAAGGGUGCGCAGGCGGAAGAUCAAGUCAGCGGUAAAAUUGAGAGGCUCAACCUCUUCGAGCCGUUGAAACUGGUUUUCUUGAGUGAGUGAGAAGUAUGCGGAAUGCGUGGUGUAGCGGUGAAAUGCAUAGAUAUCACGCAGAACUCCGAUUGCGAAGGCAGCAUACCGGCGCGCAACUGACGCUCAUGCACGAAAGCGUGGGUAUCGAACAGGAUUAGAUACCCGCGUAA
rnacentral:rRNA from 1 species